rnacentral:rRNA from 1 species
GAUGAACGCUGGCGGCGUGCUUAACACAUGCAAGUCGAACGAAGCGCCUUGGACAGAUUCUUCGGAUGAAGUCCUUAGUGACUGAGUGGCGGACGGGUGAGUAACGCGUGGGUAACCUGCCUCAUACAGGGGGAUAACAGUUAGAAAUGGCUGCUAAUACCGCAUAAGCGCACGGUACUGCAUGGUACAGUGUGAAAAACUCCGGUGGUAUGAGAUGGACCCGCGUUGGAUUAGCUAGUUGGCAGGGUAACGGCCUACCAAGGCGACGAUCCAUAGCCGGCCUGAGAGGGUGGACGGCCACAUUGGGACUGAGACACGGCCCAGACUCCUACGGGAGGCAGCAGUGGGGAAUAUUGCACAAUGGGGGAAACCCUGAUGCAGCGACGCCGUGUGAGCGAAGAAGUAUUUCGGUAUGUAAAGCUCUAUCAGCAGGGAAGAAAAUGACGGUACCUGACUAAGAAGCCCCGGCUAACUACGUGCCAGCAGCCGCGGUAAUACGUAGGGGGCAAGCGUUAUCCGGAUUUACUGGGUGUAAAGGGAGCGUAGACGGAAUGGCAAGUCUGAUGUGAAAGGCCGGGGCUCAACCCCGGGACUGCAUUGGAAACUGUCAAUCUAGAGUACCGGAGGGGUAAGCGGAAUUCCUAGUGUAGCGGUGAAAUGCGUAGAUAUUAGGAGGAACACCAGUGGCGAAGGCGGCUUACUGGACGGUAACUGACGUUGAGGCUCGGAAGCGUGGGGAGCAAACAGGAU